rnacentral:misc_RNA from 1 species
UUUCCGUAGGUGAACCUGCGGAAGGAUCAUUAUUGAAAUAAACCUGACGGGUUGCUGCUGGCUCUCCAGGGAGCAAUGUGCACACCUUGUCAUCUUUAUAUCUCCACCUGUGCACUUUUUGUAGACCUUUUCAGGUCUAUGUUGCUUCAUUUUACCCCUAUUGUAUGUCAAUAGAAUGUUGUGCCUUUAUAAUAUAUACAACUUUCAGCAACGGAUCUCUUGGCUCUC